rnacentral:lncRNA from 1 species
UUUAUAUGCUAAAUAUAUCCUUUAAUUCUGUGUGUGUGUGUGUAUGUGUGUCUGUGUAUGCUUUUAUAGGCGUUACUGGAAGAACAGAGAUAACCCAUGUGGAGUAAUAGUAUGGAAAUAUCCUGAAACUCCUUCAGAGUCUAAAUAAACUGACUGGAUUGGAGUUUCACAAGCAAGGAACCUGGUCCAUGGGCAAUUUGCUGCAGGUACCAGAGCUGCAGUUUGCCUUUCUCUGGAUCGCAACCUUGGAAGCAGUCCCCAAGUCCCAGGCUGGGAAACAAGAGAGUGGCCUGACCCCCUGGGAGGGUAGAGAUGGCCUGACUGGAAGUUUCAAGAGUCAUUUUGGGGAGUGGCAAGGAGCCAAGGAACACCCUUUCUCCUCUGUGUCUUUGGAACACCCCAUUUCUUCUUGUGAAGAUUAUAUGGUAUGUACUUUUAACUUCCUUUAGUUGCUCCCCAUUUCACUUGCAAAAAAAUGUUAUACUUUUCUUCAACUAGAUCUCCAUCAAAGAACAAAUUUAUAUAAGCCCAUGCAUACCCCUCG